AAACACAGUAAGCUCAUUUGUGGUUUUACCCAUCAAAGACCUCAAAGACCGGAGCAAGUGAUAGGCAGAGGAAGACCUUGUCUAGUAUAUCGAUGUUUUCGAUAUUGGUACGCUUCCGGUAAUGAUGGUUUGUGAUUAUGAUUAUCAAGUAAGUGUGUUAUAAUCUCAUAUAAUAUAUCGAUCUCUAAAUUAUUAAUUAUUACAUGUGGUAUCAGAGC
rnacentral:lncRNA from 1 species